rnacentral:rRNA from 1 species
UACGGAGGGUGCGAGCGUUGUCCGGAAUCAUUGGGCGUAAAGGGCGCGUAGGUGGCCACUUCAAGCGUGCGGUGAAAGUCGGGGGCUCAACCCCUGAUCGGCCGUGCGAACUGGGGGGCUGGAGCACUGUAGAGGCAGGCGGAAUUGCGGGUGUAGCGGUGGAAUGCGUAGAGAUCCGGAAGAACACCGGUGGCGAAGGCGGCCUGCUGGGCAGUUUUGCUGACACUGAGGCGCGACAGCGUGGGGAGCAAACAGG